GUGCUUGUUUGGGAGCACAUAUACUAAAAUUGGAACCAUACCAGAGGUUAGCAUGGCCCCUGUGCAAGGAUGACACACAAAUUUGUGAAGCAUUCCAUACUUUU
ensembl:snRNA U6 U6 spliceosomal RNA